UUAAGCUAAUAAGAGCGCAGGGUGGAUGCCUUGGCACUAAGAGCCGAUGAAAGACGUGAUAAGCUGCGAAAAGCUUCGGGGAGGAGCAAAUAUCCUUUGAUCCGGAGAUAUCUGAAUGGGGAAACCCACUUGAGAAGACCUCAAGUAUCCAUACGCCAAUCCAUAACGUAUGGAAGGGAACCCGCUGAACUGAAACAUCUAAGUAGGCGGAGGAGAAGAAAGAAACAUCGAUUUCCUGAGUAGCGGCGAGCGAAAGGGAAAGAGCCCAAACCAGAGUGCGUGCACUCUGGGGUUAAGGACUGCAUACGUGAGCCGAUUUGUUAAUGGAAUGGUCCUGGAAAGACCAGCCAGAGAGGGUGAAAGCCCCGUACAUGAAAACAAUAGGCAGCAGCAGGAUCCAGAGUACCGCGAGACACGAGAAACCUUGCGGGAAGUCGGGGGGACCACCCCCCAAGGCUAAAUACUCCUUAGUGACCGAUAGCGCAUAGUACUGUGAAGGAAAGGUGAAAAGGACCCCGGGAGGGGAGUGAAAAAGAACCUGAAACCCUGUGUUUACAAGCUGUGGAAGCACGUUAAGGUGCGACCGCGUACUUUUUGUAGAACGGUCCGGCGAGUUGCGGAUGCUGGCAAGGUUAAGCACUUAAGGUGCGGAGCCGAAGAGAAAUCAAGUCUUAAUAGGGCGUCAAGUCAGCAUGUGCAGACCCGAAACCGGGUGACCUAUCCAUGUCCAGGUUGAAGUUCCCGUAAAAGGGAAUGGAGGACCGAACGCACAUCCGUUGAAAAGGGUGGCGAUGAGGUGUGGAUAGGGGAGAAAUUCCAAUCGAACCCGGAGAUAGCUGGUUCUCCUCGAAAUAGCUUUAGGGCUAGCCUCGUAUUAGUCUGCUGGAGGUAGAGCACUGAAUUUCCUAGGGGGCGUCAAAGUCUACCGAAGAAUAUCAAACUCCGAAUGCCAGACAGAUGAUGUACGGGAGUCAGACUGCACGAGAUAAGUUGGGUAGUCAAAAGGGAAAGAGCCCAGACCUACAGCUAAGGUCCCAAAGUGUGUGUUAAGUGGAAAAGGAUGUGGGAUUUCAAAGACAACUAGGAUGUUGGCUCAGAAGCAGCCACACAUUCAAAGAGUGCGUAAUAGCUCACUAGUCGAGAGGUCCUGCGCCGAAAAUGUCCGGGGCUAAAACACAACACCGAAGCUUAGGAAUCAUAUUCAUAUGAUUGGUAGAGGAGCAUUCUAUACGGAGCGAAGCAGUACCGGCAAGGAGCUGUGGACUGUAUAGAAGAGAGAAUGCCGGAAUGAGUAGCGAGAUGGAGGUGGGAAUCCUCCAGGCCGAAUAUCUAAGGUUUCCAGAGUAAAGCUGAUCUGCUCUGGGUAAGUCGGGGCCUAAGGCGAGGCUGAAAAGCGUAGUCGAUGGACAACAGGUUGAAAUUCCUGUACUGCAUAUCAUCAGAACUGUGGGGACACAGAACCGAAGUCAAACCCGGGAAUGAAAAGACCGGGGCAAGCGUAGGACUGGUUAGGCUGGCAAAUCCGCUUAACAACAGGAGGACGUGACGCGUAGCGAACAUUAGUAGCGAAGUUGGCGUAGGGGCUGUCAAGAAAAGCCGCUAUUGCGUGAUAUGUACCCGUACCGUAAACCGACACAGGUGGAUGAGGAGAGAAUCCUAAGGCCGGCGGGAGAAGCAUUGUUAAGGAACUCGGCAAAAUGACCCUGUAACUUCGGGAUAAAGGGUGCCCACGAGAGUGGGCCGCAGAGAAUAGGCUCAAGCAACUGUUUAGCAAAAACACAGGUCUAUGCAAAACCGUAAGGUGAGGUAUAUGGGCUGACGCCUGCCCGGUGCUGGAAGGUUACGAGGAGAGGUUAGCGCAAGCGAAGCUUUGAAUCUAAGCCCCAGUAAACGGCGGCCGUAACUAUAACGGUCCUAAGGUAGCGAAAUUCCUUGUCGGGUAAGUUCCGACCCGCACGAAAGGCGUAAUGAUUUGAGCGCUGUCUCAACAAUGCACCCGGUGAA
rnacentral:rRNA from 1 species